GACGAACGCUGGCGACGUGCUUAACACAUGCAAGUCGAACGGUGAAGCGAGUGCUUGCACUCGUGGAUCAGUGGCGAACGGGUGAGUAACACGUGAGUAACCUGCCCAUCACUCUGGGAUAAGCACUGGAAACGGUGUCUAAUACUGGAUACGACCAACCCUUGCAUGGGGUGUUGGUGGAAAGAUUUAUCGGUGAUGGAUGGACUCGCGGCCUAUCAGCUUGUUGGCGGGGUAAUGGCCCACCAAGGCGACGACGGGUAGCCGGCCUGAGAGGGUGACCGGCCACACUGGGACUGAGACACGGCCCAGACUCCUACGGGAGGCAGCAGUGGGGAAUAUUGCACAAUGGGCGAAAGCCUGAUGCAGCGACGCCGCGUGAGGGAUGACGGCCUUCGGGUUGUAAACCUCUUUCAGCAGGGAAGAAGCGAAAGUGACGGUACCUGCAGAAGAAGCACCGGCUAACUACGUG
rnacentral:rRNA from 1 species